AUACCCUUUUGUUUUGACGUCGUCUAACGGUCUAACCCUAUCUCAUCCCUUCCUAGGUCCCAGGCUCCCCGCGCCGACUCCCACAGGCUCUUAGCGCUGACUCCUUUACGCGCACCGGCUCACCAUACCCUCAACCGGCGCGAGGACCGGCGCCGGCACGGCUUCGAGUUGGCGCGCUGCGGCCGCAGACCUGGGCCUGGGCGUGUGCCGCCCGGAGACGCUCGCGGCUGCGGCAUCGACUUGGGCGCAGCGACCGGAGACCUGGGUGCGGCUUCGACCUGGGUGCAACCGUGCAAGGCCAUCCGACGCUGUGCACAGGGCAGGAGUGACGUCUGACAGACUAGGGCAGGGAAAUAGUUGAGAACACCAAGAAUAUCUAGAAUCAAAGCUUCUUAAGAGGUCGGAACAAAGAAGAGGAGAAAAUGUAUUGAAUGUGGUGAACUAGGCCAGAUAGCCAAACAUUGCCAUGGAGGUCCUACAGCUAAAGAGAAGAGGAGGGUCUCUUCUUCAGGAAAUACAAUAGCCAUGAGUAACAAUGAUCCAAGUGAAGCACAAACAUCAAAUGAUAGUGCAAGUGCAGCUCCUGAAGGAAGAGGAAGAGGAAGGGGAAGAGGGAGGCUAGCAACAUUACUUGGGCUUGAAUGAUUAUGAGACUUAUAUGCUAGGUGCCUUAUAUGUUAGGUGCCUUCUUUUGUAUGAACUUGAACAUGUGAUGAUUAUGGGACGUCUGUAAUGAUUAUGAGGAUUCUGCUGGACUCAUAAUGAGGGGUUUAAUUGAACUUGUUUAUGCCUAUGUUUGUUAUUGCAUAAUUGUUGAAAAGUUGUGAAAAUACUGCUAAAAUCCUGUCAAAAUCAUGUCAGAUUUUUUGCUGAAAUGCUGUUCAAAACAGAGGGGCAAAAUCAUAAAUUUGAAAAAAGAGGGGUAAAAUCACAAUUGUCAUGCCAGAGAAGAGUAUAAUCACAAUUGUCAGCAUGGGUAUUUUGGUCUUUAUCCAUCAGAUUUAACACCGUCAAGUGUAGUUAACAGCACAAGGGCAUGAACCAGUUUCGUUUUCAAAACGGAGGCGCAAAAACAUAAAGUUGAAAAACAAGGGGCAAAGCCAGAGGAGGGUAUAAUCACAAUUGCCCCUUUAAGGGCCUGUUUGGAUCCACCUCGGUUUCUUAAAAACAGGUUUCUAGAUUUGGUUUCUAGAAAUUGGCUUUUAGAAAAAGAAAAAAAACUGGACAUGAAUGUUUGGAUCCACUAAGGGCGUAUCCAGUGCCGUAGGCUUCCCGCACUAUGCGGGGUCUGGGGAAGGGUAUCUUUAAGCGCCAAGCCUUACCCGCAUAAUAUGCAGAGGCUGGGCUCGAACCCGGGACCUUCCGGUUACAGACGGUAGGCUCUACCGCUGCACCAGGCCCGCCCUUAGUUUUUAAAAAUUGGUCUCCAGUUUUACUUCGACAAUAACCGUCAUACCCUUCUUUGUUUAAAGAAGGUUAGCUUUGUUCCCGCCAUUUUACUUCGCUCGCGUUCGUACAAGGUUUCAUUAUAUUACAUUAUUACUAAUAUCAGCUAGCGACCGGUGACGCUACAUAUGCUCCUCAUGCAUAUAUACUAUCCGAUCGUCAUCAUUAUUUAUUGCGCUGAGGCAAACAACAGCCUGGGCACUAGGACGAGAAGUACGUGGACGAGGCGCGAGAGCUGGCCUCCUGGGCAAGACGUCGGGCCAGAUACGACGUGCUUGGCUGAAGACAUGGAGGCCUGGGCAGUAAGAAGGCUGGGCGUGGAGUUGGCCAGAUGAGCUGCUGGGAGGAUGAAGACGGCAUGAUUGCUCGGAGGAUUGCGUGGAGUUGCUAAUGAGACGGUGGCAUUGUUAGUAAUUCUUUUCCAACUUAUUAAGGGUAGUAUGUAAAUAGCCAUCCAAAAACUGGUUUUAGCUGGGUGUAAUCAGAUUCUUGGUUUUUAAGAAACCAGGAAACUAGUUUUUGGAAACUAAAUUAAAAGUAGACCUGUUUGGAGGCCUUCCAGCUUUUAAAAACCAGAUUCUAAGAAACCUGGUGGAUCCAAACAGGACCUAAGUAUUGUCAUGAUUUGACAUUUCUAACACCACUCAUAUGUGCUGUCAGAUCACUUGCUAAUAUUUAUUGAGGGGAGAUGGCCAUUUCUGGAGCUACUCUGUUUGCACAAUGAUGAUAACAGUUCUACUGAACUUAUGCUGCACCAAUCUGUCUCUAGCUACCAAGCUUCUGAGGACGACCUGGCUGUCUACUAUACUAUUCAUUGUUGGCUGCUCCCUCGUCAAAGCAUACUGAGUGGAGUUACUGGAGAGGGCCUAGGUGUUAUGGUUCAGCCAUCAGCAGUUUCUUCAGGUUCAACUCCUGAUGUUGCUGAUGCACAGGCCCCACCUGCUGACAAGGACGACGAUGAUGAUGUUAACUCAGCCUAUCAUAGUGAUAAAAAAACAAUGUGUUCAACUGAAAAGUUACCAGUGCUAAUCAACUGGAACCAACAUCAUCGAUGUCAGCAUCUGUGGCUGAUUUGUGUCAUUGCUCCAGUGGAUGGCGCGGCUUCUUGCUGUUCUUUUGGACAAACAUCUACCUUUUGGAACUGUUAAUGGUGAUGCUCUUUCUAAUUAUGUUCAGUUCACCUGGUGAUCGGAUGAUGCAGAACUCUCGCCCCGUUUAAAAGUUUGAGUUUCUAUGGGAAGCGUGGUUAGCUGUAACCCGCUAGGGUGUGUUUUUCCCCCAUGUAAUAGGUUCUGACUUAGCUAGCAUUGGUCAUGGUUGGUUGGGCAUAUUUUCCUUUUCAGGAUGGUUUUCUGAUUAGGAGUAGUUUCGCCGGCCUUCUUCGAUUGACAGUCUUCUAAGUCGUAGUUCUCGUGUUGGUAAUAUAUGAAACUCGUUGCCUA